ACUCCUACGGGAGGCAGCAGUGGGGAAUCUUGGACAAUGGGGGCAACCCUGAUCCAGCCAUGCCGCGUGAGUGAAGAAGGCCUUAGGGUCGUAAAGCUCUUUCGCCUGUGAAGAUAAUGACGGUAGCAGGUAAAGAAACCCCGGCUAACUCCGUGCCAGCAGCCGCGGUAAUACGGAGGGGGUUUAGCGUUUGUUCGGAAUUACUGGGCGUAAAGCGCGCGUAGGCGGACCAGAAAGUUGGGGUGAAAAUCCCGGGGCUCAACCCCGGAACUGCCUCCAAAAACUCCUGGUCUUGAGUUCGAGAGAGGUGAGUGGAAUUCCGAGUGUAGAGGUGAAAUUCGUAGAUAUUCGGAGGAACACCAGUGGCGAAGGCGGCUCACUGGCUCGAUACUGACGCUGAGGUGCGAAAGUGUGGGAGCAAACAGGAUUAGAUACCCUGGUAGGACAGUG
rnacentral:rRNA from 1 species